CCUGAAUGCCCCACCUUACGACAUCUCAGGAUCUACUUAUAUUGUUACUUUUACAAGAUGGAAAAGGAGUUCCUGAUUUAGGAAGCAAAGAGAACAAGAAUGUUCUUCUCAGCAGUGUGACAGUCAUUACACAUUCCAAGAUUAUGAAUUACCAAUAGGACACUUGCUACCUUUUCACCUCAGAGUGAAGUUUUUGGUUUACUGGGGUCUUGAACGGGGAGCCCCGUCAUCUGAAGCUCUGUCAGUGUCCUCGGGACCGUGAGGCAGGCGCAUGAGGGGUGUAAGGGGACCAGCACGCUGCCCAUGACAUGAGGAAGGUUUGCUGGCCCUGGCCCUGGCUGACUGAAGCAAGCCUUUAGACAUACGCGACCCAGCCUGGCUUCCAGAAGAAUCAGCAAGAGACCCUCACCCCUUCCCUUUGCUGCUCUCCCAAGAAUGCACUGGUCCUUCCCAUCACGCCCCCCCCCCCCCCCACACACAGUCAGAACCUGGCUUGCUUAGGGCUGCUUUAGAAAUCUUAGAGCAACUGGGGAAGGAAACGUUCCAGUUUCCCCCCGCUGUCCAAGUUUAAAAUGAAUGAAUAAA